AGGGCGUGCUAAUCUGCGAUAAGCGCCGGUAAGGUGAUAUGAACCGUUAUAACCGGCGAUACCCGAAUGGGGAAACCCAGUGUGAUUCGUCACACUAUCAUUAACUGAAUCCAUAGGUUAAUGAGGCGAACCGGGGGAACUGAAACAUCUAAGUACCCCGAGGAAAAGAAAUCAACCGAGAUUCCCCCAGUAGCGGCGAGCGAACGGGGAGGA
rnacentral:rRNA from 1 species